AUUAUAUUAUCUGAAAGCUAUCCUAGAAGGCUUUUUCAUGAAGACCAGAAAUUUGGAUGCUGUACUCAAAAGAGGGAUUACCAAAAAUGCUUAGAGGAUGGACCAUUCAAUGAGCCACCAUAAGGAAAAGGAAGAUACCAUUUAAAAUUCCAGAGUCCGAGGAAUAGCAACUAUGCUUUCCAACAAAACACUCGGUCACUAGUACUUGACAGCAAAAGGCGGGAAAUGGGAGAAUGCCUGAAGAUGGAGAUAAAAUUCUGUGAGGAAAGAAGAGACUUUAGGAAGGAAGAACAGGGAGAGGCAUACAUGGCCCCUAGUUGAAAAAGGGCCCA
rnacentral:lncRNA from 1 species